GGAUUUGAGAGUGAUCUGGCUGUGACAUCUGUCACCCCAUUGAUCAUGAGGGUUGAUUUGGCUGGCUGCAGUGGUGUCCCCUUCAUCACCUCACUGCUCCAUGUGCAUCUCUCCCAAUGCUGCACAUUCAGUCUACCGUGGAUGACCUUCCCUGAUAGAGGAGGACCAUUUGGUCAAAGGUGUAUGAGUAGUUGUGCUCUUCUCCUAGAACUUCCAAACAAGUUCUCAAGGUCUU
rnacentral:sRNA from 1 species